GGCGAACGCUAGCUACAGGCUUAACACAUGCAAGUCGUGGGGCAGCGGAUGCUUAGCUUGCUAAGUAUGCCGGCGACCGGCGCACGGGUGAGUAACGCGUACCGAACCUGCCCAUCACACAGGGAUAGGCUUGCGAAAGCAAGAUUAAUACCUGAUGGUCUCAGUUGUAUGCAUAACUGAUUGAGUAAAGCCUUCGGGCGGUGAUGGAUGGCGGUGCGUCCCAUUAGGAAGUUGGCGGGGUAACGGCCCACCAAUCCUUCGAUGGGUAGGGGUUCUGAGAGGAAGGUCCCCCACAUUGGAACUGAGAUACGGUCCAAACUCCUACGGGAGGCAGCAGUGAGGAAUAUUGGUCAAUGGGCGAGAGCCUGAACCAGCCAAGUAGCGUGCGGGAUGAAGGCCCUUGUGGUCGUAAACCGCUUUUAUCAGUGAAUAAAGUGCACCACGUGUGGUGUCAUUGCAGGUAGCUGAAGAAAAAGGACCGGCUAAUUCCGUGCCAGCAGCCGCGGUAAUACGGAAAACCCGGGCGUUAUCCGGAAUUAUUGGGUUUAAAGGGAGCGCAGGCGGGAGUGUAAGUCAGCUGUUAAAUAUCAGGGCCCAACUCUGUUAUGCAGUUGAAACUAUAUUUCUUGAGUACGCACAGGGAUGGCGGAAUUCAGGGUGUAGCGGUGAAAUGCUUAGAUAUCCUGAAGAACUCCGAUCGCGAAGGCAGCCAUCCGGAGCGUAACUGACGCUGAGGCUCGAAGGUGCGGGUAUCGAACUCA
rnacentral:rRNA from 1 species